UCAGCUCCCAGGGGGAGCCAGGCAGCUGGCUGAGAGAUCGCAGGCGUACGCAGCGCGAUGACCCUUAUUACCUGAUCCGGAUAAUGCCGGCGAAGGGAUGGCGCAGCCUGGCUAA
rnacentral:ncRNA from 2 species